rnacentral:rRNA from 1 species
UACGUAGGGGGCAAGCGUUGUCCGGAAUCAUUGGGCGUAAAGAGCGUGUAGGCGGCCCGGUAAGUCCGUUGUGAAAGUCAAAGGCUCAACCUUUGAACGCCGAUGGAUACUGCCGGGCUAGAGUCCGGAAGAGGCGAGUGGAAUUCCUGGUGUAGCGGUGGAAUGCGCAGAUAUCAGGAGGAACACCAAUAGCGAAGGCAGCUUGCUACACAGUUAUUGACACUGAGGCACGAAAGCGUGGGGAGCAAACAGG